GGGCGUGCUAUACAUGCAAGUCGAGCGGACCGACGGGAGCUUGCUCCCUUAGGUCAGCGGCGGACGGGUGAGUAACACGUGGGUAACCUGCCUGUAAGACUGGGAUAACUCCGGGAAACCGGGGCUAAUACCGGAUGCUUGAUUGAACCGCAUGGUUCAAUCAUAAAAGGUGGCUUUUAGCUACCACUUGCAGAUGGACCCGCGGCGCAUUAGCUAGUUGGUGAGGUAACGGCUCACCAAGGCGACGAUGCGUAGCCGACCUGAGAGGGUGAUCGGCCACACUGGGACUGAGACACGGCCCAGACUCCUACGGGAGGCAGCAGUAGGGAAUCUUCCGCAAUGGACGAAAGUCUGACGGAGCAACGCCGCGUGAGUGAUGAAGGUUUUCGGAUCGUAAAACUCUGUUGUUAGGGAAGAACAAGUACCGUUCGAAUAGGGCGGCACCUUGACGGUACCUAACCAGAAAGCCACGGCUAACUACGUGCCAGCAGCCGCGGUAAUACGUAGGUGGCAAGCGUUGUCCGGAAUUAUUGGGCGUAAAGCGCGCGCAGGCGGUUUCUUAAGUCUGAUGUGAAAGCCCCCGGCUCAACCGGGGAGGGUCAUUGGAAACUGGGGAACUUGAGUGCAGAAGAGGAGAGUGGAAUUCCACGUGUAGCGGUGAAAUGCGUAGAGAUGUGGAGGAACACCAGUGGCGAAGGCGACUCUCUGGUCUGUAACUGACGCUGAGGGCGCGAAAGCGUGGGGA
rnacentral:rRNA from 1 species